CUCAAAAGCAAACUCAACGGGCUCCUCGUUAGCAAACUCGUCUCCCGGCUCUACCCAACAACACAAACAAGCAACAAGGAUACAAUCAACCACGUGCAAGGGCAACCAAUAACAUGCAAAGAUGGUAUGCUAUGCGGGAUGCGAUGUGGGAUGCAAAAUGCAAGACGUGACAGGAAAUGCAUGAACCUGGCCUCAACUUGGAAAACCAAGUGUGCCACUGGAUAGAGGGGAAGAAAUCCCCUGAAAACGAUAUAAAGAUCAUAGGAAUCGGAGCUACAGUUUGGAAAUGGCAAGCGUUUUACGAAACGAACCGAUCUGCGAUUUACAGCAAGUAGGCUCCUAAAUGCAACGAAAUGAACAUGCUACAGCCACCAAACAUGAAAACAAAAUACAUGGCAGGGAUGUACACAAGAUGCUUAACAAAUCACUAGGACUGAGCCAUAGGAAAAUUCAUCCAUUAAGGGGUUCAAACAAGCAUGGCAAAACUGAAUAAGCAAAAUAGAUUUCAAACAUAGUGAAAUUAACACUAGUCUGAAAUUUCAGACCACGAUGCUCUCUUCGGAGCAGCAAAACAACAUGAAACAUAACCUGAACAUGGCAAGUAAGAGCAUGGCAUGGAGCUACUCAACAAGCUUAACAAAACACCCAAAAUGACCUGGGGCCAAAAGGGUUCACAAAAUACUCUAACGAGCACACAAACAUAGAUGAAACACAAUCAGUUUUCAGACUUUGUGAAAACUGAGACAUGCUGGAAUUAUAACUCACGGAGGCAUGUAAACGAGCUCGAUGCACCCACUACGGUGCAAGUCAUGGCAAGGCAAGCAUAUAUCCAUGAAGAAGGCACAAAAUGAUAGCUAGACAUGGCAAGAACAAUGGCAUAGCAUGCAUGAGACACUAGCAAUAGCACCGGCAAAAUCGCAAAAGAGUUCACGAUCUGCCCAAAAUAACAAUGAUGCAAAAGUUGAGCUCGAUUGACUCAACCUAGAGCAUUCCAACAUAGCAAGUAAAGACAUGGAUGGAUAGAGCAUAACAAGAUUAACAAAUGUCCCUUACUGAUCAUACUCAAAAGGGGCACGGAUCACUAGGAAACAAGCCGAACAUAUGGCAUCAUGAACUAAAAUAUCCCAGACUUAGUGAAAAUCACUAAGUCCCUGAAAUCAGCAAUCUCAGGUACCCCUCUUUGCAAGCUUGCACAAGACACCACACACAUCCUAAAAAUGCAUGGGUGGCACCUCUGGAAAGAAGACAAAAUGCUUAACAAUUCAUCCCAAAGGGUCAUAGGCAUAUCAUGCACACAAUAAUCAUGGCAAAAAUGACAAAAGUCAAUGAUGAGCUAACGGAUCUGCAAUUUAACUCACGAUGCCUCCUUCUAACAGCAUUUUGGGCAUCAAGAUGAACUCAAAUGCAAAUGAUGCAAUGUAAUGAAAUGAUAUACUCGUCGAGACGAAGAUUUUGAUAUAUCAUAUGUCCAAAACGGAGCUACGGAUGCAGAGAUAUGAACAGUCAAAGAUUGCAUGAAAAAUUAGGGUUAGGAGGAAAGUCAACCGAUGCUCAGAUCCAGAUCCGGAUCUCGCGGUACUGUUCACCGGCGUGGCUGACAUGGUUGGCCGGCGUUUCGCCGGAGGAGGCGCGGGGCGGCGCCGGGGUAGUCGGAGGGGACCAGUCCUAGCGGAUCCGGCCGCCGGAGGAGGCGCCGGCGACGAGNNNNNNNNNNNNNNNNNNNNNNNNNNNNNNNNNNNNNNNNNNNNNNNNNNNNNNNNNNNNNNNNNNNNNNNNNNNNNNNNNNNNNNNNNNNNNNNNNNNNNNNNNNNNNNNNNNNNNNNNNNNNNNNNNNNNNNNNNNNNNNNNNNNNNNNNNNNNNNNNNNNNNNNNNNNNNNNNNNNNNNNNNNNNNNNNNNNNNNNNNNNNNNNNNNNNNNNNNNNNNNNNNNNNNNNNNNNNNNNNNNNNNNNNNNNNNNNNNNNNNNNNNNNNNNNNNNNNNNNNNNNNNNNNNNNNNNNNNNNNNNNNNNNNNNNNNNNNNNNNNNNNNNNNNNNNNNNNNNNNNNNNNNNNNNNNNNNNNNNNNNNNNNNNNNNNNNNNNGGGCCCGGCGGCGGGAGGCGGCGAUGUGGGGCUUGGGCUGCCACGUGGCGGCUUGCGGGUGGCUGCGGGCGUCGGCGGACGUUGUCCGGCCGGGGGCGGACACGUCCGUCGGCGCAGAUCUUAGUUUUUUUUGAGUAGGGUUUGGACGGGGGAGAAGAAGAGAUCCGAAUGGAGGGGGUAUAUAUAGGCACAAAGGGAGCUAGGAGAGUCCAAAUGAGGUGUGGUUUUCGCCCACGCGAUCGUGAUUGAACGACCGAGACGAUGGAGCAGAGUUAGGUGGGUUUUGGGCCAAAUUGGAGGGGUGUUGGACUGCAACACACACGAGGCCUUUUCGGUCCCUCGGUUAACCGUUGGAGUGUCAAACGAAGUCCAAAUGACCCGAAACUUGACAGGCGGUCUACCGGUAGUAAACCAAGACCGCAUGGCAAGUCUCGGACCAAUCCGGAAAUGUUUAAUCCCCACACACGAAAGAAAGCUAGAAAUGGCCACCGGAGGAGAACGAAGCGCCGGAAUGCAAAACGGACAACGGGGAAAAUGCUCGAAUGCAUGAGAUGAACAUGUAUGCAAAUGCAAUGCACGUGAUGACAUGAUAUGAGAUGCACGAAAACGAAAACAACACACGGAGACAAAGACCCAAACCCAAGAGAUAAAUAUAACUUAAUGCCGAAAACGGCAAGAGUUGGAGUACAAAUUGGGAAAGGUAUAACUGGGGCGUUACAACACUCCACCAGUACGAAAAGAUCUCGUCCCGAGAUCUAGGACUAAAAGAACUCCGGGUACUCAGAACGGAGGUGAUCCUCGCGUUCCCAGGUAGCUUCACGGUCGGAAUGGUGUGACCACUUGACUUUGAGAAAUUUGAUUGACUUGUUGCGAGUUCUGCGUUCAGUCUCUUCAAGGAUUGCAACUGGGUGCUCACGAUAGGAUAGAUCUUCUUGGAGCUCAAUUUCCUCGAAGUUGACGGUGCGUUCAGGCGUCUUGAAGCACUUUCGGAGUUGGGAGACAUGGAACACAUCAUGAACAUUGGCAAAGUUUGAAGGAAGCUCGAGUUGAUAGGCGAGGUCGCCUCUCUUGCUGACAAUCUUGAAAGGUCCAACGUAUCUAGGGGCAAUCUUCCCUUUGAUACCGAAGCGACGAGUCCCUUUCAUAGGAGAGACGCGGAGGUAAACAUGAUCUCCGAUCUCGAAAGCCAAAUCACGGUGCUUACUAUCAAAGUAGCUCUUCUGGCGGGAUUGGGCUGCUUUGAGGUUAUCACGAAUGACCUUGCACAUUUCUUCUGCCUCUGUGAUUAGGUCAUUACCCAGCAGCUGACGUUCACCGGUUUCAGACCAGUUGAGAGGUGUACGACACUUCCUACCAUACAGAAUUUCAAAAGGGGCCUUGCCCGAACUUGCUUGAAAACUGUUGUUGUAUGAGAAUUCAGCAUAAGGAAGACAAUCCUCCCACUUCAUGCCGAAGGAGAUAACACACGCCCUGAGCAUAUCUUCAAGAAUCUGGUUGACACGCUCGACUUGACCGCUUGUUUGAGGAUGGAAAGCAGUGCUGAAGCGAAUGUUGGUGCCCAUGGCCUUCUGAAAAGAAUCCCAAAACUUGGAGGUAAAGAUGCUGCCACGGUCUGAAGAUAUCACUUGAGGAAUACCGUGCAGAGAGACAAUUCGAGAGGUAUAGAGUUCCGCCAAUUGAGCUGCAGUGAUCGACUCUUUGAUAGGCAGAAAGUGAGCCACUUUGGUGAGCUUGUCGAUGACAACGAAUAUAGCAUCAUUGCCACGCUUGGACUUUGGAAACCCAGUCACGAAGUCCAUUUCAAUGUGGUCAAACUUCCAUUCUGGAAUGGCAAGAGGUUGGAGGAGACCUGCUGGCCUUUGGUGUUCUGCCUUCACUCUUCUGCAGACAUCACAUUCAUUCACGAAUUGAGCGAUCUCGCGCUUCAUUCGAGUCCACCAAUAAGUUUGCUUGAGAUCCUGAUACAUCUUCGUGCUACCAAGGUGGAUGGAGAGGAGAGAGUUGUGAGCCUCGUUCAUGAUCACUUUACGAAGUUCACCUUUGGGCACAACAAUUCGAUCCUCGAAGAAGAGAGUGUCCUUGUCAUCAAGUCGGUAGCACUUGUACUUGGACUGACUCUUUGCAAUACCAAUCUUCACCUUUUUCACCAUAGCAUCAAGAAGCUGGGCUUGGCGAAUCUGGUCUUCCAAGGUAGGAGAAACUUGAAGGUUGGCGAGGAAACCUUGAGGAACAAUUUGCAGAUUAAGUUUGCGGAAAGCUUCACAAAGCUCGGGUUGAUAAGGCUUGAUAAUCAGACUGUUGCAAUAUGCUUUUCUGCUCAAAGCGUCAGCAAUCACAUUGGCCUUGCUUGGAGUAUACUCAAUACUCGGAUUGUACUCUUGAAUCAUUUCGACCCAUCGAGUCUGCCUGAGGUUGAGAUUAGGCUGGGUGAAGAUGUACUUGAGACUCUUGUGAUCAGUGAAAAUGUCCACUUUCCUUCCCAAUAGAAAAUGUCUCCAAGUCAACAAAGCGUGCACAACUGCCGCCAACUCGAGAUCAUGAGUGGGGUAGUUCUUCUCAUUUGGCUUCAACUGGCGAGAGGUAUAAGCAACAACUUUCUUCUCUUGCAUCAGUACAACACCGAGACCUUGGAGAGAGGCAUCACAAAAGACCUCGUACGGCUUGGUUUCAUCAGGCGGAGUUAGAACUGGAGCAGUGAUCAAUUUCUCUUUCAAAGUGUUGAAAGCAAUAUCACACUCCGGAGACCAAACGUACUUGACGUGCUUCUGAAGAAGGUUUGAGAGAGGCUUCGCGAUCUUGGAAAAAAUUUCAACGAAUCUUCGGCAAUAGCUUGCGAGACCGAGGAAGCUACGGAGUUGCUUCACAUUCUGAGGAGGUUCCCAAUUAACAAUUGCAGACACCUUCUCAGGAUCCACGGAAAUGCCCUUGGCAGAGAUGAUAUGACCAAGAUAAAGCACCUCAUCGAGCCAAAAUUCACACUUGGAGAACUUGGCAUAGAACUGAUGUUCCCUGAGCUUGUCAAGAACCAAACGCAAGUGUUUGGCAUGAUCUUCCUUGUUCUUGGAGAAAACCAGAAUGUCGUCGAGAUAGACCAAAACGAAGUCACUGGUGUAGGGGUUGAAGAUGAAGUUCAUCAUGCGAGAGAACGUCGAAGGAGCGUUGGCGAGGCCAAAAGACAUGACAGUGUAUUCAUAUGACCCAUAGCUUGUUCUGAACGCCGUCUUGGGAAUAUCUUGCUCACGAAUGCGAAUUUGAUGAUAACCCAUACGGAGAUCCAGCUUGGAGAAUACUUGGGCACCCUUGAGUUGUUCAAACAGCUCAUUGAUGUUGGGAAGUGGGUAUUUGUUCUUUAUGGUCUUCUUGUUCAAUGGACGAUAAUCAACACAAAGUCGGUCCGUUCCAUCCUUCUUCUUCACAAAAAGAACACCACAACCCCACGGAGAAGUACUAGGCCGAAUGAGACCCAUUCUUUCUUGAACAUCGAGUUGUUUCUUCAACUCCUUCAACUCUUCGGGGCCGAGCUUGUAGGGACGUUUGCACACAGGUUCCGUACCGGGCUCAAGUUCAAUAACAAAUUCAACCGGCCGGUGCGGAGGCAUUCCUGGGAGUUCUUCUGGGAAGACGUCUUGAUACUCACAAACAAUCGGAAUCUGCGAAAUAGCAUCCAAUUCACCCUUCUCAUUGAGAGAAAACAAUCGGAUUGUAUUAUCCCGAGAAGCAAAGACAAUUACAUCCUUAGACGAAUGAGUCAGUUGAAUCUGCCUGGCUGCACAAUCGAGGUGAGCCUUGUGCUUAGAGAGCCAGUCCAUCCCAAGAAUAAGAUCGAUAUCAGAAUUACCAAGAACCAUUGGAGAAGCCAGAAACUUGAAAUCACCCAUCAUGAUAGAAAUAUCCGGAAUCAUCAUAGUAGAACUCAGACGCUUAGCUGGAGAGACGACUUGCAUAGCUCUAGGUAAUGCCUUAGUGCUAAAAUUGUUCUCCGAUGCAAAUGGGAAUGACAUGAAGGAAUGCGAUGCACCAGAGUCAAAAAGAACUUUUGCAGGAAUAUCAUUAACAGGAAGGUUACCCAUGAUCACAUCUGACGAAUCCUCUGCCUGAGCUGCGUUCACCAUAUUGACCUUGGCGUGCUUGGGAUUAUGCUUGACCACCGCUGUACUUGCCGAUCUGACAGGAGGAGGAGGAGGAAGACGCCUUUGGUUGAAACACUUGUUGGCGUAGUGACCCUUCUGUUGGCACUUGUUGCACGUGACCUCAGAAAGCGGACGGUGGUACGGAGCACUCGAACUUGGAGCUUGAGAUGAAGUCUUGUUCUGAAAGCCUGGGUUGGGUGGGUGGGAAGAACCACUGCCACCUUUGCUCUUCUGCUGAUACGGCUGACGGAACGGAGGAGGAGGAAGCCAAUACUUCUGCUGCUUGGCCACUUGAGUAGAGGAAGAAGGCGUAGUGUCUCUGACUCGCUUCCUGGAAGCAUCACACCUCAACUGAGCAGCCUCUUGCUUUAGUGCCAUGUUGUAGAACUCAUCAUAUCUCAACGGCUCGAAGAGGACAAGAGCGAGCUGAAUUUCUUCACGGAGACCACCCCUGAACUGAUAGAUCAUGCUCUUCUCAUCAGGAACAUCCUGUUUGGCAAAACGGGCGAGCUUCUGGAACAACUUGUUGUAGUCAUAGACAGACAAAGAGCCUUGCUUCAGAUUGCGGAAUUCCUCACGUUUGCUUUCAGUCACACUCUGAGGGAUGUGAUGAGCUCGGAAAUCACGACGGAAAUCAUCCCAAGUGAUCAAACGUCUACCUCUGGAAUCCUUGUACUGCUGGAACCACUCUGCAGCCUGAUCUUUGAGCUGGAAAGAAGCGAACUUGACGAAAUCUUCAGGCCUGACGUUGCUGCAUUCAAAAUGCUUGCCCAGAUCCACUAGCCAAUCGUCAGCAUCGGUAGCCUCAACACAAUUGCUGAACGUCUUUGGACCAUUUGCGAGGAACUGGUUCAGAGUAGCAAAAUGGUUCUGAUUGUUGCCUUGAUUCCCUUGACUGCCUUGAUUCCGCUCUUGGAGGAUUUGCAUGAUCAACUGUGUAUUUGCAUUAGUAGCGGCCAUCACAGCUUGCCAAGCCUCCGAAGGCGGUGGAGGUGGUGGUGGAUCAGGGUUCGGAGUCGUGCGCGUUGGAGGAGCCAUCCUGAAGAGGUUGACCACCAUUAGCACACAAAUAGACAAAUAUUGAAGCUGAAUCCAACGGAAUGAAAAUUGCAACAUAAAGUCUUCACAUCCGAACAAAAUGAACGAAUGCACUUCUCUUGAAGUGGUCACAUAUUCCUAAAUUGCGAAGCCACGAAGAAUCAGGUAGAAGGGGUACAUCAACGAGGGAUGGAAUCAACAUAUGACGUCGAAGGAACUCGAAUGCCACCACUCAAAAUAAAACCAAGGAUUGGCUUGCGGAAUACGCCGGAACAAACAUAUGAUAGAGAUUUCGUCCGAAGUUUUCGUGGUGGGACCUACACGGGCUCGAUCGUACAGCACCAUCAUGUACAAGGCAGUGCACAUGACAUACGAAGCGUCCCCGAGUCAGCAUAUGCAAGGACUCUUUAAGACACAACGAGGCCACUGUAAAAUCGACCGUGAAUAGGCGAACCACUAGACGUCGAACCCCAAUUUCAUACCAUACAUCUGUUGGAAAGAUAUCCUAAGAGCUACUUGAAUUCCCACCUAUGGAACUCCCGAAACUUUCUGGUUAUGCAAUCAGGUGUUGGGGAUACAGGGGAAGCAUAAUAUCUCACCCAAGCUAGCAAAUCCUACAUCCAGCUGUAUCCAUCCUUCAACACAUAACCAAGAAACCUUCGGAAACCAUCUACCUCAACCUUCGAAAAGCAUCCGUUAUACAAGUUAUGGCGAUACUCCCGAACUCCCGCCCCAGUACUGGGUGGCGUCGAGGUUAUCUCACCAACGAACUGCAUAAAGGACAUUUUCGAUGUCGCGAACAUAUCUCAAGUAUACCAGAAUUGCAACGAUAAAAUUAUGAUGACAACACCUCAAAGCUCAACUCCCCGGGACACUUCCACUAAACCCCUGACAGGAGGCACCAAGACAGUGUUCUCAUCAUAAGCCAUCGGAACAAAACCAAGAUACUCGCGUGAUCCUAAAAAUUUUUUUUAGUGAAAUUUGAGAAGAGAAGAGUCAAAACUCUACGUCAGGAUGCCUUACCAGAGCGAUGAGGAGACUGGGAAGUAAAAAGAAUUCCUAAGCUCUCCGAUAUAUAAUUCCUAAGGACUCAAAACAUUUUUCUAGACACAACUCGGCUGCUAAAAACGAUCAAGCAAUGGGGCUCCUAAGGUCGGGGAAGGCUCUGAUUACCAACUUGUAACACCCUCGAUGCGACUAUAUCUCCCACGUGUCGAGGCACGACUUAGAGGCAUAAUCGCAUUGAAGGCAUAUGUCGCAAGUCGGGUAAUCAUCACAAACAUCCCAUGUAAUAUAAUAAUAAAGAGGGAUAACAUAGUUGGCUUACACUCGCCACGUCACAUCAAAGUACAUAAAUAACAUCCAUCAUACAAAUCACUCAUGGCCCGACUACGGCGCCAAAAUAGAAAAGACCCCCAACAUGCGACAAGGCCCUGAAUCUAACCCCGAGUAGGCACCACUACUGAUCAUCAGGAAAAGACACAUAGUAACGCUGAGAGUCCUCGUCGUACUCCCACUUGAGCUCGAGCGCACCGUCUGGAGCUGUAUCAUCUGUCCCUGCAUCUGGUGUAAUCGUAAUCUGUGAGCCACAGGGACUCAGCAAUCUCGCACCCUCGCGAUCAAGACUAUUUAAGCUUAAUAGGUAGGAAAGGGGUAAUGUAAGUGGAGCUGCAGCAAGCGACUAGCAUAUAUGGUGGCUAACUUAUUCGCAAAAAAGAGCGAGAAGAGGAGGCAAAGCACGAGCGAGAAACUAGAGAGCAACCUGCGCAAAUAUAACUCCAACACCGUGUCCACUUCCCGGACUCCGCCGAGAAGAGGCCAUCACGGCAACACACUUAGUUGAUUCAUUUUAAUUAAUUAAGGUUCAAGUUAUCUACAACCCGACAUUAACAAAUUCCCAUCUGCCCAUAACCGCGGGCAUGGCUUUCGAAAGAUUAAUCCCUGUAGGAGGGUCCCAACUUAGCCCAUAACAAGCUCUCACGGUCAACGAAGGAAUAGACCUCCACCCAAGACACACCGAUCAGACUCGGUACCUCGAUACAACAAGAUGAUUCGACAGGUUAAAACUAGUCCAGCAACACCGCCCGAAUGUGCCGACAAAUCCCGAUAGGAGAUGCACAUAUCUCUUUCUUAGGGCACACUCAGAUGAGACUAGCUACGAGUAAAACCAACCCUCAAGUUUCCCCGAGGUGGCCCCGCAGGCAGCUCAUUUCGGACCAACACUCAGAGGAGCACUGGCCCGUGGGGGGCUAAAAUAAAGAUGACCCUCGGGCUCCGGAAACCCAAGGGAAAAAGGGGUAGGUGGCAAAUGGUAAAACCAAUGUUGGGCAUUGCUGGAAAAGCUUUAAUCAAGGCGAACUAUCAAGGGGUUCUCAUUAUAGCCCAACCGCGUAAGGGACGCAACAAUCCGGGAACAUAACACCGAUAUGACGGAAACUAGGGCGGCAAGAGUGGAACAAAACACUAGGCGAGAGGUCGAGCCUUCCACCCUUUACCAAGUAUAUAGAUGAAUUAAGAUAACAUAGCAAUAUAAUGAUAUCCCAACAAGUAAAUAAAGGUUUCAACAAGGAACGGCUCCAAUCUUUACCUGCAACUAACAACGCUAUAAGAAGGGCUGAGCAAAGCGGUAACAUAGCCAAUCAACGGUUUGCUAGGACAAUGGUGGGUUAGAGGCUCAAUCAUGGCAAUUGGGAGGAUGACAAGCAAGUGGUAGGCAUCGUAGCAUUGGCAAAGCAAAAGAGCGAGCAAACUAGCAUAGCAAAGAUAGUAGUGAUUUCGAGGGUAUGAUCAUCUUGCCUGCACAGUUGUCAGAGUUGAUUGGAUCCUCAAAAGCAAACUCAACGGGCUCCUCGUUAGCGAACUCGUCUCCCGGCUCUACCCAACAACACAAACAAGCAACAAGGGUACAAUCAACCACGUGCAAGGGCAACCAAUAAUAUGCAAAGAUGGUAUGCUAUGCGGGAUGCGAUGCGGGAUGCAAAAUGCAAGACGUGACAGGAAAUGCAUGAACCUGGCCUCAACAUGGAAAACCAAGUGUUCCACUGGAUAGAGGGGAAGAAAUCCCCUGAAAACGAUAUAAAGAUCAUAGGAAUCGGAGCUACGGUUUGGAAAUGGCAAGCGUUUUACGAAAUGAACCGAUCUGCGAUUUACAGCAAGUAGGCUCCUAAAUGCAACGAAAUGAACAUGCUACAGCCACCAAACAUUAAAACAAAAUACAUGGCAGGGAUGUACACAAGAUGCUUAACAAAUCACUAGGACUGAGCCAUAGGCAAAUUCAUCCAUUAAGGGGUUCAAACAAGCAUGGCAAAACUGAAUAAGCAAAACAGAUUUCAGACUUAGUGAAAUUAACACUAGUCUGAAAUUUCAGACCACGAUGCUCUCUUCGGAGCAGCAAAACAACAUGAAACAUAACCUGAACAUGGCAACUAAGAGCAUGGCAUGGAG
rnacentral:lncRNA from 1 species